UCUCCUCCUCCAGUGUGUAUUGAGUCAAUCUGCUCCCUUCUUUCUAUGCCAGUUUGUCUGUUUCUACCAGCUAGCAUUCCAGCAUUUUUCCCCAAGAAUUCUUAUCUCUAGUGACCUGUUUGACCUAUUUUUGUGCUUUCGACUCUGCCUCAGCUCAGUGUUUUGGAUACCUCUGCCAUUUCUGACUGAUUCCCUGUGUACUGACCUUGGAUUGCUAUUAAACCUGUUGACUUUGGAAUCUGUCUAAGUUGACAUCUGAGUCCAGCCUACCUAGUUCAUUGUUACAGUACGAACUGGCCCAAAGCAUGGACUCCGCACUGAAUUCCGACUACAAGGCAAGCGGCUUCAUGCUCAGCAGGAGCAACUAACUUAGUUUCAUCAGGAUCUUCAGGCCAUGGCGGACAGGCAGCAAGAGAUGAUGACUCCUUUGGAUGAGCAGCUGUGCUUAUUGUUUGAUCAAGUUAAAGAUUAAACACUGGCUACAGAUCCUCCUAAACCAACUAUGCCUCCUGUGCACCCUUCUCCUGCUGCUGAUUCUGCCAAUGCUGCUACUCCUACCCUCUCCAAACCAGACCAUUUCUGGAGACUCUGGAGACUGCCCUGGGUCAAAAACGCUCUGCAGUCACCACUUUGAGUUGCAGGGAUCAGUUUAUCCCACAGAGAGGUCCAAGGUAGCUUUCGUGAUUUGUCAUCUGACUGGUAGAGCCGAAGCCUGCGACACGGCAGAGUGGAGCAGAGGAUCAGGUAGAUAAGGUUGUCUUCUUCAGAGAGAAACUAUGUUGUGGGAGACAGAACCUUUGGUCAUGAAGGUGGCAAUAGAGGAGUGGAGACACUGGCUGGGGGGGCAGAACAACCCCUUCUUGGUUUGAACUGAUUACAAAAAUCCUGAGUAUAUCAAGAAGGCAAAGAGACUCAAACCCCGACAAGCCAGGUGGGCCCUUUUCUUUUAUCGGCUCAAAGAAUCUUAAACCCGAUGCUCUGUCUCGUCUGUUUGAACCAGAUGGAAGUUCCGAGGUUCAGUCCUCUGUUUUGCCUCCUUGUUUUGUUGCUGCAGUGACUUGGGAGAUCGAGGAGAGAGUAAAAGAAGCGUUUGGAGAUGUUCAGGGUUCUGAGGCUUGCCCCUCUAAUCAUCCUCUUUGUUCCUGAAGCUAUGAGGUUACAGGUCAUUCAAUUGGCCCACCCCUCCCACAUCACCAACCAUUCUGGCAUCAACUGCACAGUUUUUGUGGUCCGACAGCAUUUCUGGUGGCCUGCUCUGGAAAGGGAUGUAAGAGAGUAUGUUUAAGCAUCAUGCACAACAUCAUGCAUGUGUAUAUUAAAUACUUUAUUGUGAUCAGAAUUUCUGUCUACAGGACUCCUUUCAUCACAGGGCAGUAUUGAGAUAUUUAAUCCUGCACUAGACCACUGAACGUAUUGUUUUUCACAAUUACAGUGUUAAAAAUAUAAACAGAGGGGCACAAUACAGCCUUUUGGUGGUCUGUAAUUAAGACUCUAAUAAUAAAUAAAACAACCUGGAUGUGCUGUACUUACAAG